rnacentral:SRP_RNA from 1 species
GCUGGGCGUGGUGGCGGGUGCCUGUAAUCCCAGCUACUCGGGAGGCUGAGGCAGGAGAAUCACUUGAACCUGGGAGGCAGAGGUUGCAGUGAGCCAAGAUCACGCCACUGCAUUCCAGCCUGGGUGACAGAGUAAGACCCUGUCUCAA